UACGAAGGGGGGCUAGCGUUGCUCGGAAUCACUGGGCGUAAAGGGUGCGUAGGCGGGUCUUUUAAGUCAGUGGUGAAAUACUGCAGCUCAACUGUAGCAUUGCCAUUGAUACUGAAGAGCUUGAGUACAGAUGAGGUAGGCGGAAUUUAUGGUGUAGCGGUGAAAUGCAUAGAUACCAUAAAGAACACCUAUUGCGAAGGCAGCUUACUAAGCUGUAACUGACGCUGAGGCACGAAAGCGUGGGGAGCGAACAGG
rnacentral:rRNA from 1 species